UGGGCAUUUAGAAGCUUGAGCCAUCACAUCGGGUAGAAUCCAGUGAGAACUGUUCCGCUGCUCCCCAAGGGCUCGUCACAAAGAUUUCUGCACUAGCGUCUUCCUUGAGUUGCUUCUGUCACUGCCCUCCUCCAAAUCAUUCAAUCCACUUGGAUCAACUCCAUGGCAGUCUCUGGACUGGCCUCUCUGCACCCAUCGGACAUGCCCCUGCUACUAUGGCAAAACCACCCACCUUGUUCAGUUACUGUUCCUGACCUGAUCACCCAGACCCUGUCAUUUCAGCUACUUGGUCAAGCUGGAGUGCUUCCUUGAGCACUGGUAACAGGAGGUUCUCACUAUGGCCUUUAGGCAAGUGCUAUCAGUACCAACUAGGAACUGAGCAGAGAUGGAAAGUCUCAGGUCCUGUGGUAGGUCAGAAGCUAUGGUGGUGGCUUGUCACGGGAUUUGGUUGCAUCUCAAGUUUGAAAGUCACUAUUCCAUAUGAACACUCCUUUCUGAUCUAAUUGCUCAGGCCAAUGUACCAACCAUGCUGCGUUUCUCCUGGCUCAUCUUACUCUUUAGCUGUCUGCUCAUCUGAAACCGAACAAUUAAACCUGGCCAUUGUCCUUUU